CAGAGGGUGCGAGCGUUGUUCGGAAUUACUGGGCGUAAAGCGCGCGCAGGCGGCCUUUUAAGUCUACCCGUGAAAUGCCGGGGCUCAACUCCGUGCACGCCGGGGGAUACUGGGAGGCUGGAGACAUGUAGAGGCAAGCGGAAUUCCGGGUGUAGCGGUGGAAUGCGUAGAGAUCCGGAAGAACACCUGAGGCGAAGGCGGCUUGCUGGGCAUGAUCUGACGCUGAGGCGCGAAAGCGUGGGGAGCAAACAGGAUUAGAUACCCUGGUAGUCCACGCCGUAAACGAUGGGCACUAGACGCGGGUGGGAUCGACCCCUUCCGUGUCGCAGCUAACGCGAUAAGUGCCCCGCCUGGGGAGUACGGCCGCAAGGCUG
rnacentral:rRNA from 1 species